AGCUGGUCCGUGGGUCGCCCUAUGAGGCGGCGUGGGGCCCACUCCAGUAUGGUGGGAGUGAUCGGGACGGAUGGGGACGUUUCCUUGUAGGUUCCGGGAGUGGACUGCUCAUCUACAUGUUUGGUACCGUCUGUUGAGGGCGGUAGGGGUGAUUUCUGUGAUUGGCAGGGCUCGGCUUCCUGUUCAGGUUACAGUUGUCGGCAAGUGGUGGGGUGUUUUGGUGGACGGACUUAUUUCAGG